rnacentral:rRNA from 1 species
AUUGAACGCUGGCGGCAUGCCUUACACAUGCAAGUCGAACGGCAGCGCGUCCUUCGGGAUGGCGGCGAGUGGCGAACGGGUGAGUAAAGCAUCGGAACGUGCCCGGUAGUGCGGGAUAGCUCGGCGAAAGCCGGAUUAAUACCGCAUGAGAUCCGAGGAUGAAAGCAGGGGACUCGCAAGAGCCUUGCGCUACUGGAGCGGCCGAUGUCAGAUUAGGUAGUUGGUGGGGUAAAAGCCUACCAAGCCUGCGAUCUGUAGCUGGUCUGAGAGGAUGAUCAGCCACAUCGGGACUGAGACACGGCCCGAACUCCUACGGGAGGCAGCAGUGGGGAAUUUUGGACAAUGGGGGCAACCCUGAUCCAGCCAUGCCGCGUGCAGGAUGAAGGCCUUCGGGUUGUAAACUGCUUUUGUACGGAACGAAAAGGUCUUUUCUAAUAAAGAAGGCUGAUGACGGUACCGUAAGAAUAAGCACCGGCUAACUACGUGCCAGCAGCCGCGGUAAUACGUAGGGUGCGAGCGUUAAUCGGAAUUACUGGGCGUAAAGCGUGCGCAGGCGGUCUUGCAAGACAGUGGUGAAAUCCCCGGGCUCAACCUGGGAACUGCCAUUGUGACUGCAAGGCUGAAGUACGGCAA